GUCUGCUCUUGCCGUCGACUUUUUGGCAAAAUACUGCAUCUUCAGCCAGGAGAAGUUGGCGACGCACAAAAGGGCUUUUGAAGCAAUUAGUAUUGAGUGACCAAUUGAACAAACUGGGGGUUUGAGCAAGGCUGAAGUGAAGUUGGAAUAAAUCGUGUUAAGUACUGUGGAGAGAGGCUGAUGAAGGAGCACAGAAAAUGG